rnacentral:rRNA from 1 species
UACGGAGGGUGCAAGCGUUAUCCGGAUUCACUGGGUUUAAAGGGAGCGCAGGCGGACCUGUAAGUCAGUGGUGAAAUACCUGAGCUUAACUCGGGAACUGCCAUUGAUACUAUCGGUCUUGAAUGUUGUUGAGGUUUGCUGGAAUGGUCGAUGUAGCGGUGAAAUGCAUAGAUAUGACCCGGAACACCUAUUGCGAAGGCAGCAGGCUAAACAAAUAUUGACGCUGAGGCUCGAAAGCGUGGGGAUCAAACAGG